ensembl:ncRNA D1053.5 ncRNA
CAGGACUGGUUCUCGGCGCUUUUUUCAUUAACUCAACGUGUCCUCGACAUAUUGUGGUGAGAGACGGAUGGAAGUGAUGGAAGGGCUGGCAAAACCAUUAACCAUCGACCUCGGUUCCAAAUCAAAUCAUUUUGAAA